rfam:Lucilia cuprina strain LS Scaffold1539, whole genome shotgun sequence.
GCAGGUGAAUGCAACGUUGAGCGAUGAACGUUGUGCUCCAUAAUUGUAGUUUUUCUCAUAUUGAGUUCUUAUACAGAAUAAUUGACCACUGUAAUGCCGAUGUAUAUAUCACAUCGGCUUUU